rnacentral:lncRNA from 1 species
CAAAAACAGUAUCCUGAGACCUACUACGAUACUUACGAGGAGCAACACGGUUUAAGAAUAUUUAGGAAUACUUUUCAUCUGAGAUAUCAAAGAGAAAAAUGUUUGAUGUUGUGCAGAGAUCUUCCUGAACUUUGGACAGCAGAAUUCAGGCAUCAUCAGACUGCAUUUGAAUUACCUCUGAAAUAACAGUAGAGGUUAAAUUGCCGUUUUCAGCUGACUCAUCACGUUCAAAGCUGUGAUUCUGCUGAUGAAACCUUUGUAUUUAAGUGAAUGUAUCAUUAGAAGCAGAAACUACUGUAGCCUCAAACUUCCUCAUUUGAAGCAGACCUGAAGCAGAAAGAUAUGCAUUGACUGAACUGUUCUUGAAACAUUACCACUGCACUGCCCCCUUUAGAUAUUGAAAAGCCGCUCUCAGGACUCCCUGCAGCCUUCUCUUCUCCAGGCUUAACAGCCUCAGCUCUCUCAGCCCAUCCUUGUUGGUGUUCCAUCCCUUGGAUCAUUUUUGUGGCCCUCCUCUGGACAUGUGUCAGAGAUGGCUUAUGGUGACCUCAUAGCUCUCUACUGAUAGUGAGAGACACAACUCUACAACAAGGGAAACAUGACUGGAUUAAGGAAAACAUUGCAGAGGGAGCGAGGUCAGAGGCCCACAGAGGUUCUGGAGCGUCCAUCCUCAGAGGAGUUCACAUUUCAUUUGGACACAUCCCUAUAACAUCCAGCAUAACUUUUUUACUGGCCCUGCUUUGAGCAGGGUUGCGCCAAAUGGACUCUUGAAGUCCCUUCCAGACUCUUAUGUCCACCAUCUUUUUUUCUUGGACAUCUUUGUGCUAGACAAUUUUUGGAAACAUUGUGAUUGAUGGCUUCGAUGAAUGGAUCCGUCUGGUCUGACAAAAGCUGAAAUGCCCUGAUCAAAUCCCAGAUCACCAGGUUCAGUGUAACAUAUACUUACAACAUCUUUUACUCACUACCAACCUGACACUUAGAGCUACAGCAGAAUGUAGAGCAGCCUGAAGGACCAAAAUGCAAUCUGGAUCUGCCUGAGAAGGUAUUCAGCUUUCUUCCAUUUCCAGUGGAGAAGCAUAAGCCUGCCUGAGCUGAAGGCUGGAGGAAUUUUAUCAUUGGGUGAAGAGAUGAAACAACACAGUGAAAACAAAACCCCUUCCCCCGGAAUUUUGCAUUUCUCCAGUGAGAGCUUCUGGCAGACUAUUUUCUCUUCAAGGAAAAAGAAUAAAUCACUGAAAUCAUACUCACUGUUACCUGAUACAGGCCUGAGAGUCCACUUUCUGUAAGGCCAAGUGAUGCCUACAGCCAGCCUUUAAACUUCUGUUACACGACUAACAAGUGAAGGACUACCCUGCAUCUUGUCUGCAGAGGACUAAUAUUGUGGGCUAUUUAUUUCCAGUUUACUAUACCCUG